GGGAGGCAGCUGUGAGGAAUAUUGGUCAAUGGGCGCAAGCCUGAACCAGCCAUGCCGCGUGCAGGAAGAAUGCCCUAUGGGUUGUAAACUGCUUUUAUUUGGGAAUAAACCUAUUUACGUGUAGAUAGCUGAAGGUACCAAAUGAAUAAGCACCGGCUAACUCCGUGCCAGCAGCCGCGGUAAUACGGAGGGUGCAAGCGUUAUCCGGAAUCAUUGGGUUUAAAGGGUCCGCAGGCGGUGCUAUAAGUCAGUGGUGAAAUCUCAUAGCUUAACUAUGAAACUGCCAUUGAUACUGUAGCACUUGAAUUCGGUCGAAGUGGGCGGAAUAUGACAUGUAGCGGUGAAAUGCAUAGAUAUGUCAUAGAACACCGAUAGCGAAGGCAGCUCACUAGGCCUGGAUUGACGCUCAGGGACGAAAGCGUGGGGAGCAAACAGGAUAGAUACCCUGGUAGUCCACGCC
rnacentral:rRNA from 1 species